rnacentral:rRNA from 1 species
GUGAACGCUGGCGGUAGGCCUAACACAUGCAAGUCGAACGGCAGCACAGUAAGAGCUUGCUCUUACGGGUGGCGAGUGGCGGACGGGUGAGGAAUACAUCGGAAUCUACUUUUUCGUGGGGGAUAACGUAGGGAAACUUACGCUAAUACCGCAUACGACCUACGGGUGAAAGCAGUGGAUCUUCGGACCUUGCGCGAUUGAAUGAGCCGAUGUCGGAUUAGCUAGUUGGCGGGGUAAAGGCCCACCAAGGCGACGAUCCGUAGCUGGUCUGAGAGGAUGAUCGGCCACACUGGAACUGGGACACGGUCCAGACUCCUACGGGAGGCAGCAGUGGGGAAUAUUGGACAAUGGGCGCAAGCCUGAUCCAGCCAUACCGCGUGGGUGAAGAAGGCCUUCGGGUUGUAAAGCCCUUUUGUUGGGAAAGAAAAGCAGCAGGUUAAUACCCAGCUGUUCUGACGGUACCCAAAGAAUAAGCACCGGCUAACUUCGUG